UAUCCUCAUCCGUACAUUUGAAUCUCGCAGGACAGCUUCCGCCAAGCCCAUUAAAAUACUUUUGAGCAGGAUUCGGAUACCUAACCACUUUGUCCUACUUAGUGAGCAAAUUCACCCCCCAAUGAAAAAGAGGACAUGGGCUACAGUGGGACUACCACAUACUACCAAAAGUGUGUCAAUUAUUUGUAUGUGUUAUAUUUCUUUUUUUAACAAAAUUAUUUAUACAUACGUUCUUAGAUGCAAUAAAUGUUGUAUAAUGUCGGUUAUAACAGGUAACAAUAUAACAUUAACACUUUAGAGCUAUUAUUCCAACAAGACCAAUAAAUAAAUAGAAAAUAACAACUAAUUAAGAGGCUUGGAUAGGAUCAUCGAUCGUAGUCAUUUUAAACAACUACAACAGGCGAUGAAUGCUUUACACAUUGCCCUUGAAGAGAUGACAUGUGCAUAUUUGUAACAUUUCAAUGAGAUCAUAUUAUAUGGCAUUCUGUAAUAUUCCUACAUCUGUUCCUGAUAGUAUAUUAUAUUUCACUUAUGUUCCAGAUCAGCAACUGCCUCUUGGAUAAAGGCGACGGUAGUAGUGGUGAAACAAGACUCGAUGUGACAGAGACCAGGGAUGCUGUCAUCACCAUCUCACCUACACUAUCAGUGAGGCCUCCUAAGAUUAUGGAGCAAGAAGAACAUUUCAAAAAGUAGAAGAAGCCUCGUCACGACGACAAGACACAAACCACCUCAACACCUGAGAAAAACGAAGUGAACUGUUCCGGUGCUGCUGCUCCUGCAGAUGAAACGAUGGACCUUGAUCUGACGUCACUCGAUGAUACAGUCAACCAUACAUCAGUAGAAAUAAUAGCACCUCUCGUGUCCACCAUGGAGGAUUCAUCAACAGUUCCCCACCGGCCACACUCCAGUUCAUCCACAAGUAGCUAUUGUCGAAUACACUGGCAGGUUUCCCGAGGUAGGCCUAUUUCUUGUGUGUAAAGGUUGCAAAUCUCUGUAAUAAUUUUGUCAAGAAUGAAAUAUAAAUCUAAAUAUUCUAAAUAGUAGUCUUUCAGUCAAAAACUGCUCAAAGGCGCUUCUGUUUUCCCCCGAUCUAACGAGCUGUAUGCGUUCAUUGUCGUCAGUCAUUUUGUUGAUCAAUGUGACCAUACGCCCUUAUACUGCCAAUAAAAGUGACAAAUGCGCAAGCUUACGAAGCACAGGUCUAGAUUUCUGCUAUAUACUCACGGGGAGAAAACAAUAAAAAGGCUUUAGAUCAGUGACCCUUUAAGAAAAUCCGCACCGAUCAAUCCUAGAUGUGUCACAAAAGUUGAAAAAAGAACAAGAAACAUUUUCCGUAUAACACUUAACAGGUUCGUAAGUGUGAGCCGUUAUGAUCCACUAUAAGUGAUCUAUUAUAUAUGAUUCAUAACUACCGCGAUAAUAUAGCGUACAAUCCUACAUCUGCAUGGUCUUGGCGAGAAAGUCCUCU
rnacentral:lncRNA from 1 species